rnacentral:rRNA from 1 species
AUUGAACGCUGGCGGCAGGCUUAACACAUGCAAGUCGAACGAGUGGCGGACGGGUGAGUAAUGCUUGGGAAUCUGGCUUAUGGAGGGGGAUACCGACGGGAAACUGUCGCUAAUACCGCGUACCAUCGGAUGCGCCCAAGUGGGAUUAGGUAGUUGGUGGGGUAAUGGCCUACCCAGCCGACGAUCUCUAGCGGGUCUGAGAGGAUGACCAGCAACACCGGGACUGAGACACGGCCCUGACUCCUACGGGAGGCAGCAGUGGGGAAUAUUGCGCAAGGGGCGCAACCCUGACGCAGCCAUGCCGCGUGAAUGAAGAAGGCCUUCGGGUUGUAAAGCACUUUCAGCGGGGAGGCGUUACCCGCAGAAGAAGCACCGGCUAACUCCGUGCCAGCAGCCGCGGUAAUUC